rnacentral:misc_RNA from 1 species
UAUGUGGGUUUCCUGUGUUGCAUACCUAAUUGAUGGCAUCGUGUGGAUUGAUGAACUUCCUUUCCGUUGCGUAUCGCUCAUGCGAUGUGUUACGGACCUAGAGGCGGUCUUUGUUGUCCAUCUCAUUGAUGCAUGUGCAUCUGUGACAUGGCCGAUGGAGAACGCUUGGUCUCUUGGAUAUGGAACCUGAUGCGGGCAAGGGAUCUCUUAUGAUCCUGCAUCUGCUCUCGUUAAGCGUUCUCGCUUCUCUGAAACGACAGCCCGUCGCGUCUCGGCUCGUCCGUGCACGGCAGGCUACGUCGACGAGGA